GAUGAACGCUAGCGGCAGGCUUAAUACAUGCAAGUCGAGGGGCAGCAUGACUGUAGCAAUACAGUUGAUGGCGACCGGCAAACGGGUGCGGAACACGUACAGAACCUUCCUUCGAGCGGGGAAUAGCCCAGAGAAAUUUGGAUUAAUACCCCAUAGUAUAUUAGAGUGGCAUCACUUUGAUAUUAAAGAUUUAUCACUUGAAGAUGGCUGUGCGGCUGAUUAGGUAGUUGGCGGGGUAACGGCCCACCAAGCCUUCGAUCAGUAACUGGUGUGAGAGCACGACCAGUCACACGGGCACUGAGACACGGGCCCGACUCCUACGGGAGGCAGCAGUAAGGAAUAUUGGUCAAUGGACGAAAGUACUGAACCAGCCAUGCCGCGUGGAGGAUGAAGGUCCUCUGGAUUGUAAACUUCUUUUAUAUGGGACGAAAAAAGGGUUUUCUAACUCGUCUGACGGUACCAUAUGAAUAAGCACCGGCUAACUCCGUGCCAGCAG
rnacentral:rRNA from 1 species